GGAGGCCUCACAGUCAUGACAGAAGGUGAAGGAGGAGCAAAGGCAUGAUUUACAUGGUGGCAGGCAAGACAGCACGUACAGGGGAACUCUCCUUUAUAAAACCAUGAGAUCUCAUGAGGCUUAUUCACUGUCAUAAGAACAACAGGGAAAUGACCUCCCCUCUUGAUUCAAUUAUCUCCCACCAGGUCCCUCCCACCACAUGUGAGAAUUAUGGGAGCUACAAUUCAAGAUGCCAUUUGGGUGGGGACAUGGCCAAACCAUAUCACCACCUUUAGGUGCUGUGUUUUAUCAAGGUAUAUUUCAGCCUCAUGUUGCCUGUGCUGUAAGGGGUAAGCAGUUCCACUCGUUAUUUCCAGAGGAAGAAGAACAUUUUGUCCUGUGGCACUCUCUUAGGAGUAAUGACUUCCCCCACCCUCAGAAUCUUCCCAGCAUUGACCAUUGCUGAACUACUAGCAAGGAGGAAGAAACAUUCAUGAUUGGCUCAGAUCAAUAGUCUGGUGCGGAAUGAAUAUUGGAGAAUCAACCAUUAUGUCCAUCACAUUCUUUCAUUUGAUAGUCAUGUUCACGUGAUUAAACAGAAGAGAUAUUAGCCACACAGAAAGCUGUUAUUUUGAGGGAGAUAAUGGUAGAAAAACAUUGGUAGAAGAGUAAGAGGUAAGUAAAUGAACCUGUAGAGUACAUGGUGUAUGAAGAAACUAAGACAGCAGGGUUAAGAGAUUUUUCUAAGGUGGUAGAGCCAAGAAUGAAACCUGCUCCAUGGUAAGCCUGCCAUAGUGUAAGUGAAAUAUUAUCUAUCUUCUUAUUACCAUCCAUACACAUAUUGCUUUAGGGCAUAUGUAUUUUACCUUGAGUUCUAUUCAUUUUACUAAGCAUUGUUAAAAAUCAUUAGUACUGAAAAUAUAAAUUGGCCCUUUCUAUCAGUUCACUCUUCUACCAUCUCCAAAUGUUUUUCAACUCUCCACUGUUAAAAACAAAUUUUUGUUCGUUAGCAACAAAAACUCAACAUUGUUUGACAAAAAUCUUUUGAAAAUCAAACAAGCAAACAAACAACAACAAAAAAACAACCCAGGGAAUAUACCAAAUAUCAUAUGGCCCCUUUUCUUCUAUUCUUAUUUGUGUCAAUAUAUAUUUUCAUGUCUCAGCUGCAGGUAACUUGGCAUAAAUG
rnacentral:lncRNA from 1 species